rnacentral:lncRNA from 1 species
CUAAAAUCUCAUAAUGUUUUGAAGCACGUUAAUGUUAUAGUUAUAGGUGAGACUCAAAGUUUUGUAGUGCCUUCCUAUUCUUAAAUGAGACAUAUGAAAGCAUUGGUUUUAAAGAUAUGUUUGUGCUGAAAAAAACAUAAUAUUUGUCGUGAAGAUGAAGAUAAAGCGUCCACAUCAUCUGGCAUUUCACAAUGUUAGAAAUCCGCGUGCUCAUCGUAGAUCAUUAAUUUUUUUUAACGUGCUUCUAAAUGCAUGACCGACCAGCUGUAAUCCCUUUUGACAAUCUGACUUCACUUGACUCAUUUUCUUGCACAGUCCACAACAGCCACUAUUGGUGACCUGAACUUUCUGGUUUGGAUGAUGGCCUAUGAUUUGGACCAUAAAGAUUAGAACUCUCCUAGCCUAAUUUUUAUGUCAUCUGUAAGUAUCCUGGUAAUACUAUAGUUUAAUUAGUCUUAUAAUGUACACCUCUUUAAACGGUGUUUGGAACAUUUGAUAACCAAGAAUACAUUUGAUAUUAUCCAUGUUCUCAGUAAAAGUUAACUGAUAAAUGCUAGAUCGUAUUAUUCCAUUCCUCUGCAUACUGACGAAGAUUAAUUAAAAAUAAAAAAUCAUAAGAUAUGCUACAAAUUUAUUUCUUCAUCGAUACAUGAACAUGAAACAUAUUGAAGAUAAUAUCAUACAUCGUUGUUAAAUAAAUAUGAAUUACAACCGUACUUUAGUAUCAAAAAAUAGUACUUUAUGGUUAUACAAUCGUAUUUAAGCUUACAAAAUCGUACUUCAGUGUCAAACAAUCGUCCUUAAACGUCAAACUCUUAUUUCAGCUUCUCCCAAAAGUCCAUCAGCCUCAAAUUAUCGUACUUCAACGUGAAAAUAACGGUUAGAACGACCUUAGCAGUCCAGAGUUAUAUAUAUUGAUAAAUACGGGUUGGUCUUUUUUAGAUAUUCUUGCUGCGUUUUUUAAGAUAAAGCAAAUUAAGAUGAACUAUACUAAAAUGAAUGUGAAUGUAAGCAUGUAUAUUCGACCAAUGAGCGGCAUUUAACUAUGAAAAUCAUAAAAACGGUAAAGUCAAAUUUAAAAGGCACCGACACGGUUUUCAAAUAUAAAAGACAGCGAAUAAUAUGCCGCCUAUGAGUUGAGACAAAGACAUAUCAUAUUGUUCAACCAUUUCUCGGUGUAAACCUAAAACUUAUAUUGUGUUGAUUGUAAUCGUUUUUAUCAUUACUGUGUUGAAGCAGUGUUUUUGUGAGGAAAUAAUCCUUGUUUAUGAAGAACCGACAGUGUUGAUAUGGACGAGAGCAAGUAUUAAUUCAAAUAUAUAAACAAG